GACGAACCGUGCGAACGUUGUUCGGAAUCACUGGGCUUAAAGGGCGCGUAGGCGGGCUAACAAGUCUGGGGUGAAAUGCCGCGGCUCAACCGUGGAACUGCCUCAGAUACUGUCGGCCUCGAGGAAGGUAGGGGCAUGCGGAACUGUAGGUGGAGCGGUGAAAUGCGUUGAUAUCUACAGGAACUCCGGUGGCGAAAGCGGCGUGCUGGACCUUUUCUGACGCUGAGGCGCGAAAGCUAGGGGAGCAAACGGG
rnacentral:rRNA from 1 species